rnacentral:rRNA from 1 species
GGUUAAGUUAGAAAGGGCGCACGGUGGAUGCCUUGGCACUAGGAGCCGAAGAAGGACGGGACUAACACCGAUAUGCUUUGGGGAGCUGUACGUAAGCGUUGAUCCAGAGAUUUCCGAAUGGGGGAACCCACUAUCUUUAGUCGGAUAGUAUCCUUACGUGAAUACAUAGCGUGAGGAAGGCAGACCCAGGGAACUGAAACAUCUAAGUACCUGGAGGAAGAGAAAGAAAAAUCGAUUUCCUGAGUAGCGGCGAGCGAAACGGAAAGAGCCCAAACCAAGAAGCUUGCUUCUUGGGGUUGUAGGACACUCUAUACGGAGUUACAAAAGAAAGUUAUAAAUGAAGCGGUCUGGAAAGGCCCGCCAAAGACGGUAACAGCCCGGUAGUUGAAAUGGCUUUCCCUCCAGAGUGGAUCCUGAGUACGGCGGAACACGUGAAAUUCCGUCGGAAUCCGGGAGGACCAUCUCCCAAGGCUAAAUACUCCCUAGUGACCGAUAGUGAACCAGUACCGUGAGGGAAAGGUGAAAAGCACCCCGGAAGGGGAGUGAAACAGUUCCUGAAACCGUGUGCCUACAAGUAGUUAGAGCCCGUUAAUGGGUGAUAGCGUGCCUUUUGUAGAAUGAACCGGCGAGUUACGAUUUGUUGCAAGGUUAAGCGGAAAAAGCGGAGCCGUAGCGAAAGCGAGUCUGAAUAGGGCGCAUAAGUAACAGGUCGUAGACCCGAAACCAGGUGAUCUACCCAUGUCCAGGAUGAAGGUAAGGUAAUACUUACUGGAGGUCCGAACCCACGCACGUUGAAAAGUGCGGGGAUGAGGUGUGGGUAGCGGAGAAAUUCCAAUCGAACUUGGAGAUAGCUGGUUCUCUCCGAAAUAGCUUUAGGGCUAGCCUCGAGGUAAAGAGUCAUGGAGGUAGAGCACUGUUUGGACUAGGGGCCCUUCUCGGGUUACCGAAUUCAGAUAAACUCCGAAUGCCAUGUACUUAUACUCGGGAGUCAGACUGCGAGUGAUAAGAUCCGUAGUCGAAAGGGAAACAGCCCAGACCACCAGUUAAGGUCCCCAAAUAUAUGUUAAGUGGAAAAGGAUGUGGGGUUGCUUAGACAACCAGGAUGUUGGCUUAGAAGCAGCCACCAUUGAAAGAGUGCGUAAUAGCUCACUGGUCGAGUGACCCCGCGCCGAAAAUGUACCGGGGCUAAACAUAUUACCGAAACUGUGGAUGAACCUCUUUAGAGGUUCGUGGUAGGAGAGCGUUCUAAGGGCGGUGAAGUCAGACCGGAAGGACUGGUGGAGCGCUUAGAAGUGAGAAUGCCGGUAUGAGUAGCGAAAGAAGGGUGAGAAUCCCUUCCACCGAAUAUCUAAGGUUUCCUGAGGAAGGCUCGUCCGCUCAGGGUUAGUCGGGACCUAAGCCGAGGCCGAUAGGCGUAGGCGAUGGACAACAGGUAGAGAUUCCUGUACCAGUGCUAAUUGUUUAACCGAUGGGGUGACACAGAAGGAUAGGGAAUCGCACGAAUGGAAAUGUGCGUCCAAGCAGUGAGUGUGAGAAGUAGGCAAAUCCGCUUCUCGCGAAGCAUGAGCUGUGAUGGGGAAGGAAAUUAAGUACGGAAGUUCCUGAUUUCACGCUGUCAAGAAAAGCCUCUAGGAAGAGUAGUACUGCCCGUACCGCAAACCGACACAGGUAGAUGAGGAGAGAAUCCUAAGGUGAGCGAGAGAACUCUCGUUAAGGAACUCGGCAAAAUGACCCCGUAACUUCGGGAGAAGGGGUGCUCUAUUAGGGUGCAAGCCCGAGAGAGCCGCAGUGAAUAGGCCCAGGCGACUGUUUAGCAAAAACACAGGUCUCUGCAAAACCGUAAGGUGACGUAUAGGGGCUGACGCCUGCCCGGUGCUGGAAGGUUAAGAGGAGUGCUUAGCUUCGGCGAAGGUACGAAUUGAAGCCCCAGUAAACGGCGGCCGUAACUAUAACGGUCCUAAGGUAGCGAAAUUCCUUGUCGGGUAAGUUCCGACCCGCACGAAAGGCGCAACGAUCUGGGCACUGUCUCAACGAGAGACUCGGUGAAAUUAUAGUACCUGUGAAGAUGCAGGUUACCCGCGACAGGACGGAAAGACCCCGUGGAGCUUUACUGCAACCUGAUAUGGAAUGUUUGUACCGCUUGUACAGGAUAGGUAGGAGCCGAAGAGACGUGUGCGCUAGCAUACGAGGAGGCAAUGGUGGGAUAC